UUGUAAAGCACUUUCAGUAGGGAGGAAGGUAGUGUAGUUAACACCUGCAUUAUUUGACGUUACCUACACGAAGAAGCACCGGCUAACUCCGUGCCAGCAGCCGCGGUAAUACGGAGGGUGCGAGCGUUAAUCGGAAUUACUGGGCGUAAAGCGCAUGCAGGCGGCCUCGUUAAGUCAGAUGUGAAAGACCCGGGGCGUUAACCUCGGAAUUGCAUUUGUAAACUAGGCAGGCUAGAGUCUUGUAGAGGGGGGUAGGAAUUUCAGGUGUAGCGGUGAAAUAGCGUAGAGAUCUGAAGGAAUACCAGUGGCGAAGGCGGCCCCCUCGGACAAAGACUGACGCUCAGAUGCGAAAGCGUGGGGAGCAAACAGGAUUAGAUACCCCUGGUAG
rnacentral:rRNA from 1 species